rnacentral:rRNA from 1 species
UACGUAGGGGGCGAGCGUUGUCCGGAUUUAUUGGGCGUAAAGAGCUCGUAGGCGGUUCGAUAAGUCGGACGUGAAAUCUCCACGCUCAACGUGGAGGGCCGUUCGAUACUGUCGUGACUCGAGUCCGGUAGGGAGUGUGGAAUUCCCGGUGUAGCGGUGAAAUGCGCAGAGAUCGGGAGGAACACCCGUAGCGAAGGCGGCACUCUGGGCCGGUACUGGACGCUGAGGAGCGAAAGCGUGGGAGCAACA